GAGUUUGAUCCUGGCUCAGAACGAACGCUGGCGGCGUGGAUAAGACAUGCAAGUCGAACGAGAGAAUUGCUAGCUUGCUAAUAAUUCUCUAGUGGCGCACGGGUGAGUAACACGUGAGUAACCUGCCCCCGAGAGCGGGAUAGCCCUGGGAAACUGGGAUUAAUACCGCAUAGUAUCGAAAGAUUAAAGCAGCAAUGCGCUUGGGGAUGGGCUCGCGGCCUAUUAGUUAGUUGGUGAGGUAACGGCUCACCAAGGCGAUGACGGGUAGCCGGUCUGAGAGGAUGUCCGGCCACACUGGAACUGAGACACGGUCCAGACACCUACGGGUGGCAGCAGUCGAGAAUCAUUCACAAUGGGGGAAACCCUGAUGGUGCGACGCCGCGUGGGGGAAUGAAGGUCUUCGGAUUGUAAACCCCUGUCAUGUGGGAGCAAAUUAAAAAGAUAGUACCACAAGAGGAAGAGACGGCUAACUCUGUGCC
rnacentral:rRNA from 1 species